rnacentral:tRNA from 1 species
GGGGGCCGUGGCCAGGCGCGCCUGACGGGCGCGCUCAGGUCGCGUCGCGCGUGACGGGCGCGCUCAGGUCGCGUCGCCCUCCGCC